AUGCGGAGCUCUUCUGCACUUUGCUGCUCAC
rnacentral:piRNA from 1 species